CGCCGCUGAUUAACCAUAUAAGUAAGCGGUGGAAAUGACCCAAAUGGGAUUCCUUUAGUAAUUGCGAAUGAACAGCGAUGUGCUCAGCUUGACAAAUGGAGUUUUUGAGCUUCGAAUUGUAAUUUUGCAAUGCAUCACCAGCGAAGGUACAGAAGCAAGCCUUUUGAAAGACAGCGCCAUUGAAGGUGAAAUUCCUUUUUGUCUCCUGCAACCUUUGUGCACGGUAUGUAUUUGGUGAAUCACAUUCCUCGGCAUUGGAAUGCAAAUAGGGUGGUAAAUUUCACGCAAGGGAAAAUAUAUUGUUGAGUCUGAUAAUGAACAAGUACCAUGAGGGAAAUAUGCAAAGGACUUUGAAAAGAAAAUUAAAAGAGCUUGCAUUUGCUAAACAGAAAACUAGCAGAAGUGCUUUAUCUUGGUAAGAUUGCUGUGCAUGGGUUUAUUGUGUAAAUUGUAUGAGCAUUGGUUCUUGCCUUGUGUGUCAAUUCCAAUGUCUUUUUUAAUAUCUUUGUUCAUGAAUUGCGAAAUGCUUGUGGGUGUUUGAUUGCAUGUGCAUACAUUAAUUUGAGCUUGGUGCAAUGUUUGGCAUUAGCUUGCAUGUAGAGUGCCUGUGCAAUGCAAAAUUGCGAUUGUGAACUAAAGCCAACCGUUUGUGUUUGCAAUUUGAUUCUGCUUUGACCGUCUUGGAACACGGGCCG
rnacentral:rRNA from 1 species